UCUAACCCACAAAAGUUCUGCAGUGCCAACACAUAUGGUAUCCAAAGAACUGAAGAGGACAACCACACACUCAAUAUCCAACAACUCGCUAUUAAAAGCACACCCUAAAUGCACCCUAACCCAGCAAUUUUGUGUCGGCUAAAUUUAAUGUAUAGAGAGCUCUACUUAGAUACCUUUGUGUUGAGUUUUAUGCUAUUGUUCCCGAUAAUUCAAACAAGCCGCCCAGAACUCAAAUUCAAGUCAAAUGGACCAAGCCUAAUCCGGGGUGGGUGAAACUUAAUACUGAUGGGGCUACUGGAGGAACCCUCGGUAAGGCUGGUGGGGGUGGGGUGCUUCGCUGCAAUAGAGGGAAUUGGAUUGCUGGUUUUUCUAGGAAGCUUGGUGCAGUUUCCAGUACUAUGGCGGAGCUUUGGGCUCUUAAAGAUGGACCCUGAUCAACUUGAUGCCUAACUGCACUGUGACCCAUAUUUUCCAGGAAGCCAAUAGGUGUGCAGAUAUUAUGGCUAAAAUGGGAGCUGAGUUAGUUUCUGACUUCCAAAUUUUGUAUGAACCACCGCCUGUGGUGAAAAAUGCGCUAGCUUUUGAUAAAGCUGAGCUAUUUUGUAAUAGACUGGUUGUGUAAUGCUAUUUCCCUUCUGUUGUUUACCAAAAAAAAAAAAGAAAGUGAACUGUGGAGUCUGGACCAUUCCAUGUUUAGAUUUGAACCUUUGAUUUAGCUAUUGUAUUUGUAUUGGUUUUUGUGAUUAUCCAUCGUGUUUUUGUAACUA